UGCGAUACGUAGUGUGAAUUGCAGAAUUCCGCGAAUCAUUGAGUCUUUGAACGCAAGUUGCGCCCGAGGCUUGUCCAAGGGCAUUUCCGCUAGAGCGUCACC
rnacentral:rRNA from 5 species